GGUGCUUGCACCUGAUUGAUUUUGGUCGCCAACGAGUGGCGGACGGGUGAGUAACACGUAGGUAACCUGCCCAGAAGCGGGGGACAACAUUUGGAAACAGAUGCUAAUACCGCAUAACAGCGUUGUUCGCAUGAACAACGCUUAAAAGAUGGCUUCUCGCUAUCACUUCUGGAUGGACCUGCGGUGCAUUAGCUUGUUGGUGGGGUAAUGGCCUACCAAGGCGAUGAUGCAUAGCCGAGUUGAGAGACUGAUCGGCCACAAUGGGACUGAGACACGGCCCAUACUCCUACGGGAGGCAGCAGUAGGGAAUCUUCCACAAUGGGCGCAAGCCUGAUGGAGCAACACCGCGUGAGUGAAGAAGGGUUUCGGCUCGUAAAGCUCUGUUGUUAAAGAAGAACACGUAUGAGAGUAACUGUUCAUACGUUGACGGUAUUUAACCAGAAAGUCACGGCUAACUACGUGCCAGCAGCCGCGGUAAUACGUAGGUGGCAAGCGUUAUCCGGAUUUAUUGGGCGUAAAGAGAGUGCAGGCGGUUUUCUAAGUCUGAUGUGAAAGCCUUCGGCUUAACCGGAGAAGUGCAUCGGAAACUGGAUAACUUGAGUGCAGAAGAGGGUAGUGGAACUCCAUGUGUAGCGGUGGAAUGCGUAGAUAUAUGGAAGAACACCAGUGGCGAAGGCGGCUACCUGGUCUGCAACUGACGCUGAGACUCGAAAGCAUGGGUAGCGAACAGGAUUAGAUACCCUGGUAGUCCAUGCCGUAAACGAUGAGUGCUAGGUGUUGGAGGGUUUCCGCCCUUCAGUGCCGGAGCUAACGCAUUAAGCACUCCGCCUGGGGAGUACGACCGCAAGGUUGAAACUCAAAGGAAUUGACGGGGGCCCGCACAAGCGGUGGAGCAUGUGGUUUAAUUCGAAGCUACGCGAAGAACCUUACCAGGUCUUGACAUCUUGCGCCAACCCUAGAGAUAGGGCGUUUCCUUCGGGAACGCAAUGACAGGUGGUGCAUGGUCGUCGUCAGCUCGUGUCGUGAGAUGUUGGGUUAAGUCCCGCAACGAGCGCAACCCUUGUUACUAGUUGCCAGCAUUAAGUUGGGCACUCUAGUGAGACUGCCGGUGACAAACCGGAGGAAGGUGGGGACGACGUCAGAUCAUCAUGCCCCUUAUGACCUGGGCUACACACGUGCUACAAUGGACGGUACAACGAGUCGCGAACUCGCGAGGGCAAGCAAAUCUCUUAAAACCGUUCUCAGUUCGGACUGCAGGCUGCAACUCGCCUGCACGAAGUCGGAAUCGCUAGUAAUCGCGGAUCAGCAUGCCGCGGUGAAUACGUUCCCGGGCCUUGUACACACCGCCCGUCACACCAUGAGAGUUUGUAACACCCAAAGUCGGUGGGGUA
rnacentral:rRNA from 1 species